UACGAAGGGUGCAAGCGUUACUCGGAAUUACUGGGCGUAAAGCGCACGUAGGCGGUCUUUUAAGUCGGGGGUGAAAUCCUGGAGCUCAACUCCAGAACUGCCUUCGAUACUGGAAGACUCGAGUCCGGGAGAGGUGAGUGGAACUGCGAGUGUAGAGGUGAAAUCCGUAAAUAUACGAAGGAACGCCAAAAGCGAAGGACAGCUACUCGUGG
rnacentral:rRNA from 1 species